GGUANUGGACGCAGUCUGAACCAGCCAUGCCGCGUGGAGGAUGAAGGUCCUCUGGAUUGUAAACUUCUUUUAUUGGGGAAGAAACCGGUUUUUUCUAAAGCCGUUGACGGUACCCGAUGAAUAAGCACCGGCUAACUCCGUGCCAGCAGCCGCGGUAAUACGGAGGGUGCAAGCGUUAUCCGGAUUCACUGGGUUUAAAGGGUGCGUAGGUGGGCAGGUAAGUCAGUGGUGAAAUCUCCGGGCUUAACCCGGAAACUGCCGUUGAUACUAUCUGUCUUGAAUGUAGUGGAGGUGAGCGGAAUAUGUCAUGUAGCGGUGAAAUGCUUAGAUAUGACAUAGAACACCCAUUGCGAAGGCAGCUCGCUACACUACGAUUGACACUGAGGCACGAAAGCGUGGGGAUCAAACAGGAUUAGAUACCCUGGUAGUCCACGCCCUAAACGAUGGAUACUCGACAUCAGCGAUACACUGUUGGUGUCUGAGCGAAAGCAUUAAGUAUCCCACCUGGGAAGUACGACCGCAAGGUUGAAACUCAAAAAAAUUGACGGA
rnacentral:rRNA from 1 species